AUUCCCGUCUUUAUCCAUUGCUGACAAAUGUUGGUAGAUCAGCAUCCAGGAAGCUAUAGAUAGAGACGUUUCCUCCACUAACCACAGCAAACUUCACUGGUGUUGGAUGGGCUUUCUGUGUCAAGUGGGUUAUAUCGAUGCAAAUACAGAUGUAUGGCGAACCUGGGGUUGUUUUCUUGUACCCACUUCCAGGCUGGUACACGUCAAAUGCAAUAAGAACAGCAGCAUGGUCCUUUAUCAGGGAUUCCACACUGGCUUGCUCCUCUUCAGUCCAUGACGGGAAAGAGGCCUUAAGUCCCCAGCUUGGAGGUAGAGUGGCUGGUUGUCUCUUUAGUUUUUGAAGCUCAGCGGCACUGACAAUGAUAAGAUGACAACAACGAAAAGAAUUGAUGCCCGUGGUCACAGAGUGCUGUGCAUGAUGACGAAAUUACCACACCAACACAACGCAAGCACGAAAAAGACCCCGAUAUUUUCAGUCUACAUCUCAGUGAGCUGUGCGUGGAUUAACCUGUUAACGACUAAGACAGGGCUGGGAUCCAAUCUUAUAAAAAAUAAGACAACGA